UACGUAGGGGGCAAGCGUUGUCCGGAUUUAUUGGGCGUAAAGAGCGUGUAGGCGGCCAAGUAAGUCUGCUGUGAAAACUCGAGGCUUAACCUCGAGCUGUCGGCGGAAACUAUUUGGCUAGAGUCCGGAAGAGGAGAAUGGAAUUCCCGGUGUAGCGGUGAAAUGCGCAGAUAUCAGGAAGAACACCCGUGGCGAAAGCGGCUCUCUGGAACGGUACUGACGCUGAGACGCGAAAGCGUGGGGAGCGAACAGG
rnacentral:rRNA from 1 species